CCCAUUUGAACCAUGUGUAUUAUCAUAAUUAUGUGCCAUUUUAUUUUGCAAACUCAAAUCUGAUUUAUUUUCAAUAACUUUUAGACUUUUUGGUGGUGCAAGUACCAAUGAUUGCUCCUCUGAAAUCAUACCGUUAUCCAUGUCAUGGUUCAUGUUUUGGGCAACACACAAUGGGUUUAGUUGAAUGGCUACCUUCUCAUUUCUCUCAACAAGUAUGGUGUUGUCUUGAGCAUCCAUCUCUUCCCUAUUCUCAUCACCAACCUGCACAUUUGGAAAGACAAAACUAGAAGUAGUGAUGAGAGUGUUAGUUUCAAAGAUAUCCUCACUUGGCCUGCAUUCUAAAUAUCUACCGACAUUAUAUAAUCAUAACUAAAAAGAAAACUAAUGAUGAUACUCAAUUUAUUAGAUAAUUUAAGAACCAUGCAGUCAUCUUCUUAUUUCCAAACAAAAAAUUGGAGAACAUGUAAAUAGAUGGAAAUUAAUUGAAAAAAGUUUUUUUUACCCGAAUAAUUGAAAAAAGUAGCUCUAGAAUUUAUAUGUAGACAAUUAGACAUUAAUCAGUUUUGAUUUGGGACCAUAUAUAUGUCCUAGGUCCGUUUCACGUACCGUUUAUAGCCGCACAUUUGGGAAUGUGACUUCCUUGGAACAGCUGACGAGCUGUAGAUAGAGGGAGAGGUAAACACCAUGGAACUCUCUUCGUCUCCAUGUGGGUAGCAGCGUACUCUCCAUAAUUGAAGCUUAAUGUGAAUCAAAACGACCUAGUAAAUUUGGAUCUCAGUGCAAUGGAUAGACCUUAGUACUGCGCAAAUCCACUGUCCAAUUUCACUUAUAAGGAGAUGAUAGGACAAAAACGAACCCAUCACCCUUAGAUUGGUCCAGUUUUUAAGGGAAAAAACGAACCCACCCUUACAAUUUUAUUUAUUCACCCCGAUAGCAAGGCCUUACAGUAGAUAAUAUUGAAUGAGGAUGGUAACCAAAAUGUGGCAUGCUAGGUAACCACUCUUAGUUUAGCAUGCAAAGUAAUACAAGGGAUAACAUGUUCUAAAGGGCCCCCCAAUUUUGAGUCUUGCCUAUCUUCCACUUUAGCACUAGCUGAAAUGCAGUGACACAUCCAAAAAAAAAUUGUCAGGUUUUUGCAUAGAAAUAUAUCAUAGUGGAUAACUUAUCAGCUCGCAGGUCAUCACAAACGACACAUUGACAGUUCACAAAUGACACAUUGAUAACUCAUACUACUUAGCCUUGCGCAAAUGCAAUGCAACAUCCAAGUGCAGGUGCACAAUGCACACCAGUCAUCACAUAUAGAUUACGCGAACAUUGAAAAAUACAUCAUAGAACAUUACACAUAUACAACGUGAACAUAAAAAAACACAUAUAUAACACAUGAACAUAAAAAAAGCACAUAUAAACUAUAUAAAAUAUUAAAAAUCCAACAUAGAACAUAAAAAAAGAAAAAAGAAAAGAAAUAAAAGAAAAGAAAAAAAUAUAACAAUGAAAAUAAUUGUAAACAAAUAAGAAAGCAGUAGAAAAAUAUAAAAGGUAUAGAAUAUGAAAAAAGAAAAAGAAAAAAGAAAAGAAAAAAUACCAAGAAAAGAAUAUAAAAAAAUAUCAAGAAAAGAAAACUAAACAACAGCGAUCAGGAGGGGAACAGAAAAGAAAAACAAAAAAAACAAAAUAAGAAAAAAAGAAUAAAAUAAAAUAAAAAGAAAACAUACGUACUUACCUGAGAAACCCGUCGUCCGUGCUCGUGGCAUAGCUAUCCGAGAAAGCUUUUCAAAAGAGGCUAUUAAAAUGCUGAAAAUAAAAUAACUUUUGUAAAAAAAACUUGAAUGUGAUGUUUAUGCUUGAAGAGAUUGAGAAGGAAGGGUUUGUUGUUCAGGAAGAGUAUAAGAAAACACAGGAGGUAGCAUUCAAAAAUAUUCAGCACAUAGGGUAAAAGUUUUAGGGUUUAGGGUUAACCAAGGGCAUUGGAGUCCAAGAAAGAUAGUGAAAAACUUUUCCAUGCAAUGUAAUUGGUAAAAUUGUAGGCGGGGCGGGCUCUUAACGAGACCCGCACGUUCGCCUCGCAAGGUUUCCCUUCGUGGUUGUAGUGGCCUGACAGUAGUUUUUUGUGGCCCA
rnacentral:lncRNA from 1 species